rnacentral:rRNA from 1 species
AGUUGUCUACACACCACCCUGAAUGUGCCCAAAUGUCCUGCAACCUUGAAAGCUAAGCAGGGUUGGGCCUGGUUAGUACUUGCAUAGGAGACAAAUU